rnacentral:rRNA from 1 species
GACGAACGCUGGCGGCGUGCUUAACACAUGCAAGUCGAACGAGAAGAGAUGAGAAGCUUGCUUCUUAUCAAUUCGAGUGGCAAACGGGUGAGUAACGCGUAAGCAACCUGCCCUUCAGAUGGGGACAACAGCUGGAAACGGCUGCUAAUACCGAAUACGUUCUUUUGUCGCAUGGCAGAGGGAAGAAAGGGGAGGCUCUUCGGAGCUUUCGCUGAAGGAGGGGCUUGCGUCUGAUUAGCUAGUUGGAGGGGUAACGGCCCGACCAAGGCGACGAUCAGUAGCCGGUCUGAGAGGAUGAACGGCCACAUUGGGACUGAGACACGGCCCAGACUCCUACGGGAGGCAGCAGUGGGGGAUAUUGCACAAUGGGGGAAACCCUGAUGCAGCGACGCCGCGUGGAGGAAGAAGGUUUUCGGGUGUAAACUUCUUUUACCAGGGACGAAGGACGUGACGGUACCUGGAGAAAAAAGGCCAA